rnacentral:piRNA from 1 species
UGAGGUACACACAAAUUCAUA